GCAGGUCGACGAUUUCCGGUUGAUCCUGGCAGAGGUUACUGCUAUCGGUGUUCGCCUAAGCCAUGCGAGUCAUAUGUAGCAAUACAUGGCGUACUGCUCAGUAACACGUGGAUAACCUGCCCUUGGGACCGGCAUAACCCCGGGAAACUGGGGAUAAUUCCGGAUAACGCAUAUUUGCUGGAAUGCUUUAUGCGUCAAAAGGAUUCGUCUGCCCAAGGAUGGGUCUGCGGCCUAUCAGGUAGUAGUGGGUGUAAUGUACCUACUAGCCAGCGACGGGUACGGGUUGUGAGAGCAAGAGCCCGGAGAUGGAUUCUGAGACAUGAAUCCAGGCCCUACGGGGCGCAGCAGGCGCGAAAACUUUACAAUGCGGGAAACCGUGAUAAGGGGACACCGAGUGCCAGCAUCAUAUGCUGGCUGUCCGGAUGUGUAAAAUACAUCCGUUAGCAAGGGCCGGGCAAGACCGGUGCCAGCCGCCGCGGUAACACCGGCGGCCCGAGUGGUGAUCGUGAUUAUUGGGUCUAAAGGGUCCGUAGCCGGUUUGGUCAGUCCUCCGGGAAAUCUGAUAGCUCAACUAUUAGGCUUUCGGGGGAUACUGCCAGACUUGGAACCGGGAGAGGUAAGAGGUACUACAGGGGUAGGAGUGAAAUCUUGUAAUCCCUGUGGGAUCACCUGUGGCGAAGGCGUCUUACCAGAACGGGUUCGACGGUGAGGGACGAAAGCUGGGGGCACGAACCGGAUUAGAUACCCGGGUAGUCCCAGCCGUAAACGAUGCUCGCUAGGUGUCAGGCAUGGCGCGACCGUGUCUGGUGCCGCAGGGAAGCCGUGAAGCGAGCCACCUGGGAAGUACGGCCGCAAGGCUGAAACUUAA
rnacentral:rRNA from 1 species